ensembl:snRNA U6 U6 spliceosomal RNA
UUGUCUUCUCUUCAGCAACAGAUAUACUAAAACUGAAACAAUACAGAGAUUAGCAUAGGUCCUGAGCAAGGAUGAAACACAAAUUUGUGACAUGCUCCAUGUUUUC